rnacentral:rRNA from 1 species
UACGUAGGGGGCAAGCGUUGUCCGGAAUCAUUGGGCGUAAAGAGCGUGUAGGUGGCUCGGUAAGUCCGCUGUGAAAGUCCAGGGCUCAACCCUGGAAUGCCGGUGGAAACUGUCGAGCUCGAGUCCGGAAGAGGCGAGUGGAAUUCCUGGUGUAGCGGUGAAAUGCGCAGAUAUCAGGAGGAACACCGGUGGCGAAGGCGGAUCUCUGGGCCGAUACUGACGCUGAGGAGCGAAAGCGUGGGGAGCGAACAG